rnacentral:lncRNA from 1 species
UCAUAUUUGUUUCUAUUUAUUUGUAUGAAUUCUUAAUUUAUUCCAAAAGACAAACUUUUAAUUGCUUUUAUUUAUUUCUGCAGCAACCAUUUAGCCUCGAUCUGCGGUGACAAAACAGGGAUUAGAGGAAUACAACCUCCAUCAAGUAUUUUUUUUCCCAUAAUGUUCUUGUGCAUUGUGGCUUGUAAGACUUUCUUAUUGGAUUGCGCUUGUUUAUCUGCACUACUGUUACUUCUAUGUUUAUUGUAUGAAUUGGGUGGGGAUGAAUCUUGUAUUGAUAUGACUAAAUUUGUAACAGAUCAAUUUCAUCGUCACUUUGUUAAUCUAUCUCCAAUGGUGACUAAAAACUUAUUAACUUCUUUUAUAUGAUUUCUCCCUUCCAAAGGGUGGGACUUUUUGGAAUUCUCAGCUUUAUAUAUUCCUUCCAAGCACUUUGUAUCCAUCUUAGAUAGAAUUUGCCUAGCUGGUCUUAAUCCAUUAUAUCAUUGAGCAAGGUAAUCUGCGAUCGUGUUGGUCUCUCAGUAUCCAUGUUGAGUGUCUGUCCUUUGAAGCUUGCCCCAUAUAUUAAUCACCUCGCCCAAUUAGUAUGUUGUUGCAGUCAGAAGUCAGGACUGCUGUCGUUGUUUGCUAUGUCGAUUACAGAACUGGACUUACUGUAGUGAUUGUCCAAUGCAAUGCUAGAAAUUUGUACCCAGCCAGCAUCCUGUAGUGAUUAUGAUGCAUGCUUACAAUGUCGUAACAUUCAAUUUUUUCUAGUGAAGGCACGCCUUGCAUAAGGAUUGUGCUACUGAAAUAAGAAUCGAACCAAAACAUGCUCCGUCUGCAAUACGGCAUAAUGUCCCUUCCAAUAAACAGCUUGGUUUGCUAAUGUAACAUUAGGCCUGGAUCCAUAUUUCCAGAAUCCGACUUUCAAAUAGCAUACUGAUACACAAUACGCUGAUAUUAUCAAUUUAACACCAAGUAAUUGGCUAUUGACCCAGCUAGAUGAUCUUGUAAAGGUGCAGUUGUUCUUUUUACAUUUACAUAUAUGUUUCCCUAUGGAUCAUAAUUGAUGCUGAUGGUUCAAGAGUAUGAACACGUAAUUUCAGUUUACAUACUUUGCAAAGACAAUUGCCGACAUUGUGAUUAAUGGAUAUAUAGGAAGAUAAACAACUUGCUUGUAUCACGCCAAAGUAAAACCUCAUGACAGACCAGUAUACUAUAUAUAUGCAAAUGCAAACGUGCAUAACCAAAGUUUUUGAACCUGUCCGUUAUGCACGUUUGCAAUAUCAUCGAUCAGUAGGGUAAAACUAACCUGUCUCACGACGGUCUAAAACAUUGUCACUCGACUGUAGAAACACGACAAAAGUCAGGGCAGGGAUGUCUUGCAGUGUAGAAACUGCACCAACAAAAACCCUAAUUCUGACAUGAUUAGUUCAAAUUAAAGACAUAUAUAGAGACUCUCUAUAUCAAUACAAGUACAUGAUCAACAGUGGACAGGGAGGGUUCAAUACAGUUGAUUAAGAAAGUAAAAAACAAUAUGAUGUAUAUGAUUGGAAAGAUCUCGACGAGAUGUAUCUAACAAGAUCCCACAUGGGUAUGAAAAAAAAAUGUGUUUUUUAUUUUUUUGAUAAUUUUCUGUCUAUAUACUGUAAGGGUCUUAUCCGCUAAAACAUUGAUUGUUGUUCUCUAAACAGUAUACACUUAUCCUCUAAACAAGCUAUUGUAUCAACUUAACAUGCAAUUUUAUUAAAUUACAUUAUUUAUUUUUGAUAAAAAGUAUGUCUCUUCUUCUCUCUAUGAAUCAAACAACAUUAUAUUCACACCCAAAGGUAGGAUAUACAUCGCCUGAUCAGCAUGUACAAAGACUGUACAUCGUUAGGUAGAAAACCAAAACAACUCUCUACACCUAGCUUCUGAGCAUAACAGACCACUCAAAGAUAGAGAAGAGAAAAGAAAGAAAUAGGGAGGCACAAACAUCUCCAAAUAUCCAAUAUAGCUGAGUUACCACUGUUCGUACAGAGCAUUUGCCCACCUAAUCAACAGAUCCCCAAAGCUAAUGACACCCCUUAAUGCUAAACUAUCUUUAUUAAAUUACAUUAUAUAUUGAAAAGUUUUUAAAGAUGGAUUAAAGCUAGUUAUCAAAGUAUAUUGGUCAUGGUUUUAUAUGUAUUACUUGGAUUUUGUUGAAAAACAAGAAUACACGAGUGUUUAAAAAAAGGGGAAUUAUUAGUUUCAAUGAUGGUUAGAGAGCACACGAGUUUAUGGCUCAAUGGUUGCAUCCAUCUCACAAAAUGGAGAGGUCGUUGGUUCGAAACACGCCAGUAACUGAUUGUUUGAUAUAAGUUUCCUCACGUAAUUUGAGCUAAAAAAAACAGAAAGAAAAAAGAUGAUUAGAGAUUUGAACUAUUAUAUUGUGCUGGUGUGAGGGAUGAGAAGGAAAAAUGAAGUACAAAUUUAACGAGCUUAUUGGCAUUACAACAAGUAAUAUGUUUAGAUUGGGUUAUGUUCUUUUUCGUUUUUCUUAUGGUUUAAGUUGUAACCUAAAAAAAGUGUAUAGACUGGGUUAUGUUCUUUUGUGAAGUUUUUUGUGAAGUUAAUUGGUUUUCCGGGCUCAAAAUACAUAAGUAUGUUUCCAUGCACUGGAACAAAAUAGCCAUAUUCAAAUAGUCUACAAGUCAUUCAUUUUAAAAGAAAAUAGCCAUUCAUUUUAAAAGAAAAUAGCCAUACUCAAAUAGCUUGAAUGAAUGCAUUCUUGGUGAAAAAUGGAUUCUGACCGCCAUAGUGUUAAGACAAUUGACAGUACAAAUCGAGAGCCACCCUGUCCACCUGUUACGACACCAUACGUGAAUUCCUCAAGUUGUGUAAAAAAUUCAAUAAAAUGCAUUGAGAAUGUCGCAGUUGGAGAAGAAACAAAACCUAUUCACAAGGCUCAAUGCAUUUCAGAUAAUCAUCGACCUAAACCCCUGUCCUAACAAUCACCAUUAAAAUUUGAUACCAUGAGAAAGAAUCAUAGCAAAGAUGGUAGAUACCUGGAAAAUAAUCGCCACCUGUAAUCGUAGCAGGGAUGGUAAUUUAACAUUCUCCAACAAAAUCCAAUAGGAACAACGACAUAUCCACUACAAUGUACACCAUAAAAAUCCAAGGAAGCCUCGAUACCUCGUAAAGCCAUAAUAAUAAUACCAGUAGUAAUUCUAGAUCAAUGUCUUGAAGAAUGGGCUAAAAUGAAAACUGGAUAUCAAUUGUGCAAGUUAUUUUGCUUAAUACUUACAGAUUAUAUCCUACACAGCCUGAUGUUUUGUGGGAAAAACAUGCUCUACAAAUUUGUGACGAUUUUACCGCACAAACUAAGGAUGAGUUUCUCAAAACCCAACCGAUGCUGAGGUUGAUUAUGGAUUGUUUCUUUUAAAUGAAUAUCUUGUGGGACUUGGUAAAAUGUUAAGUGAUUACACACAAAUGCCAUUACCUACUCGUGAUUGGCAAAAAUCUGUUCAAAACCGUCUCAUUUUAGAACAUGAAGCUCUAGCAUACGAAGGAUUGGAUGUUGUGGCUGAUCAAAAAAUUGCUCGGUUGAAUGUUGAACAACUCCAUGCGUAUAAAGAAGUUAUAUAUUCAAUUUUAAAUAAUAGUGGCAAAAUAUUCUUUCUAAAUGGUCCAUCUAGAACGGGGAAAACAUUUGUGUACAACACAAUUACAGAUUCAUUGAGAAGUCAAGGGCACAUUAUGAUAAUGGUUUCUUCCUCAGGUGUUGCUUCUUUACUAUUAACUGGUGGAAGAAUAACUCUCCACACAUUUAAGAUACCAUUGAAUGUUUUAGAUGAUAUUGUUUGCCACAUUGGAAAAAAAUCAUUCAAGGCAAAUUAUUUGAAAGAGCAAAACUUAUUGUGUGGGAUGAAGUACCAAUGUAACAUCGAUAUUGUGUUGAAGUUGUUGAUCGAAGCAUACAAGAUCUUUUGAGAAACAAUAAACCAUUUGGAGGAAUAACAGUUGUUUUAGGUGGUGAUUUCAAGCAAACGCUACCAGUAAUUCCAAAAGGAACAAGAGAGGAAAUUGUUUGUGCGUCAAUAAGAAAAUCUCAUCUUUGGGAAGAAAUAGAAGUUCUUACAUUGGUAAAAAAAUAUGAGGCUAAGUAGUGAUGAUGUAGAGAACAUUAAAUUUGCAGAUUAUUUAAUUGAGGUAAUAUUUUAAUCCAAUUUUUUAAAUUAAUAUGAAUUGAAUAUUCUCAAUUAUAUUAACUAUUUUAUAUUUAUUCAACCGUUGCAGGUUGGAACUGACAAAUUCAGCCAGCGUUGUUACAGAUGAUAGCGACGGAGAAAUUUUGGCGACUUCUUCAGGUAAUGAUAUUUCUUCGCCUUGGAUUUUAGAUUGUGGCGCUUCUUAUCAUAUGUGUUCAAACGAAGACUGGUUUGACACGUUUGAGAAAAGAAAAGGCGACGUAGUUUUUAUGGGGAAUAAUUCUAGUUGUAAAGUUUGUGGAAUCGGUACAGUAAAGUUGAAGAUGCAUGAUGGAAUUGUUAGGACUCUAGGUAACGUGAAAUACGUUCCUGCACUAAGGAAGAAUCUUAUUUCCCUGGGUUAUUUGGAUAAGAAUGGGUACACAUACAAAUCCAAAGAUGGGAAUCUCAUAGUCUCAAAGGGUUUACUUGUGGUUAUGAGAGGAGUAUGACUUUCUAACAAUUUAUACAAGCUUUUAGGAAAUACAGUAAUUGGUGGGGCUGCAGUUUCUACACAAGAAGAUCACACUCAGCUUUGGCACUUGAGGCUAGGGCAUAUGAGUGAAAGAGCCAUGGAAGAACUACACAAACGACAAUUGUUGAAGGGUGUAGGAGAGUGUAAACUUGAGUUCUGCAAGUAUUGUAUUAUGGGAAAGCAAACUAAAGUACACUUCAAAGCUGCAGAUACAAAGAACAGAAGUACAGAAGUACUUAACUAUAUUCACUCAGAUGUGUGGGGGCCUUCACCUACUCAAUCAAAAGGUGGAGCUCGCUACUUUGUCACUUUCAUGGAUGAUUUUUCGAGGAAAGUUUGGGUCUACUUCAUGAAGGAGAAAUCCGAAGUUUUCACUAAAUUCAAGGAGUGGAAGGCAUAGUAGAGAAUCAAACAGGCAAAAAAUCAAGUAUCUAAGAACUGACAAUGGCGGUGAAUAUAAGGAUAGGAAGUUCUACAGUACUGCAANNNNNNNNNNNNNNNNNNNNNNNNNNNNNNNNNNNNNNNNNNNNNNNNNNNNNNNNNNNNNNNNNNNNNNNNNNNNNNNNNNNNNNNNNNNNNNNNNNNNCAGAAUGGAGCUGCAGAAAGGAUGAAUAGAACUCUUAUGAAUACAGAGAGGUGCAUGAGGUUUCAUGCAGGUCUGCCAGAGAUGUUUUGGGCAGAGUCACUUAACCAUGCUUGUCACUUGGUUAAUCGUUCACCAUCCAAGAUGCUUGAUUUCAGAUAUGCAGAAGAGGUAUGGUCAGGUAAACCGGUAGACUACUCCACUUUGAAGGUAUUUGGAUGUAGCGCAUAUGCUCUUAUUCCUAGUGAUGAGAGAACUAAACUUAAACCCAAAUCUCAUGAAUGCAUUUUCAUCGGCUUCGAAAAGGGAGUGAAGGGUUAUAAGUUAUGGGAUCUAGUGAACCGAAAGAAAAUCUUUAGUAGAGAUGUUGUGUUUGAUGAGAAGACUAUACCUAUGAAUCAAGACAUGAAGAAUGGUGAGAAAAACACUAUUGUUAAGAAAGCAACUACAGAGAUAUCUCCUCUUACCAAGGUAUCCAACGGGAAGACUCUUAUUCAGGUGGAGGAGUCAGAUGCAGAGGUUGAAGAGGAUGGGCCAGAACAACAACAGUGUGAAAAGGAGGUUGAAUCUAAUAAAGAUAAGCAACAACCUUACAGCAUAACAAAGAACCGGGGCCAAAGACAAGUCAAACCACCUAUUAGACUUGGGUUCGAGGAAGAAGUUCAUUAUGCUUUAAGCAUUAGUGAAGGUGAUCCUACUUCUUAUCGUGAAGCAGUUGAAAGUAACGAAAGAGAAGAGUGGAUUGAAGCUAUGGCUGAAGAGAUGGAAUCUCUAUACAAGAACUCCGUUUGGGAGUUGGUUCCUAAACCUGCAGAAAGAAAAAUUGUUGGCUGUAAGUGGGUUUACAGGAAGAAGGAAGGAAUGCAUGAGAAAGAACCACCAAAGUUCAAAGCACGUUUGGUGGCGAAGGGGUACUCACAGAAGGAAGGAGUUGAUUAUGAUGAAAUUUUCUCUCCGGUAGUGAAACAUACUUCUAUUAGAGUGUUACUAUCACUGGUUGCUCAGCAGGAUAUGAAGCUUGAGCAGUUAGAUGUCAAAACUGCUUUUCUCCAUGGUGAAUUAGAGGAAGUCAUCUACAUGGCUCAACCUCAGGGUUUUGUUGAAGCUGGUAAGGAAAAUCUGGUUUGUAGGUUGAAGAAGUCUCUUUACGGGCUCAAGCAAUCUUCAAGACAGUGGUACAAACGAUUCGACUCUUAUAUGCUGAACAUUGGGUAUAGAAGAUGUGACUAUGAUUGUUGUGUGUACACUCAUGUGUUUGAUGAUGGGAUGGUGAUCCUAUUGCUACUUUAUGUAGAUGACAUGCUUAUUGCUUGUCGGGAUAUGUCUAGAAUUAAGGAGCUUGUAAACCCCCUCUUUUAUGUUUUAUGCUAAUUUUAAUUUGGAAUUAAAAAUAAUUGGGUUAAAGUCCCUGGACCAAGGGUUUAAGCAUAAUUACUAUAAAGUAGUGGACUAUGGUUUAAAUAACCCAAACUUGGAGAAAACAACCCACGAACAGUUUGUGCUUAUGAAGUUCGGAAACACGAUCAGAUCAGAUUCGGAUUCAUUAAUAACCGUUAGAUCAGCCGACUUAAUCACUAUUAUAUAGAGAUUUAAUCAAGGGUUUUGUUUGCUUAGUUUAAAGAAAAAAAGUUUGCGAUAAACAGCGAGAGAGAUCGAGAGUGGCGGCGACAACUCAAUCGAUCGAUCGAGCGAGAGAGAGAAAGAGAUCGAGAGUGGCGGCGAUCAGAAUUGUUGGAAGAAGAAGAAGUGAAGAAAGAGAUUAAACCUCGCUGUGAUUAAAGUGAAGAAAGAGAUUAAACCUUGCAGAAUUUAGAAGCAGCAGUUGCGAGAAGCAUUGCAGAACCUGGAACUUAGAAAAUAGGAAGAAGAAGCAACAGUGGAACAGGUGAGUGGGCCUAUAGUAUGAAAAAUAUGGAUUGGAAUGCAUCUGCUGGUUAGGUGGGGUUCUGUGCUUGUUUGAUGUUAAGUUGACUUGUAUGGUAGCAAGAAAAUAAAAAUAAAAAUAAAAAAAUCGGAUUACUGUGCACCUGCUAGCUUGAUGUUCAUGUACUGUAAGGUAAAUAUAUAUAUGAAUUACAUAUGUAAUGAGAAAGUGAUAGUAGAGUACAGGGUAUACUAUGUGCCGUCUUUCCAAACUUGAAAUUUGUACUUAAUAGCAUACAGUAAGUGUAUUAUCUGUGAUUGGUCUGUGUUAAUGCAUGAUUCUCCAUAUAUUGGUUUGGAUAAUAAUGUUUUGGGGCAGCGUAUAUAUUCAAUUUUUUUUCUUUGUGUCACCAAGAGGAUUUAACAUGUUUUUAAAUUAUGCCGUAAGAUGGUAUAUUUAAGAUGUAAGGAAUGAGAUUCAUGUUGAUCCUGCACUUGAGAAUUUAAUUUAUCAUAAAUGCCUUAGAAUGGCUCGACAAUAUGGUCGGUAGAUAUUUAAUUUGGAUAGUGAAAACGAAAUACGAAAAUGGACUUGGAAUGUGCUUGUUUGACAAAUGCUGUGUGGUUGUUUGAUUAAUCUAGUUGUUUUAGUAGUCGCCCAACCAUUAGUACAUUUGCCGCACCUGUGGAAUUAGGAUUUAAAGAAAUUAGAUAUCACCCUAGACGGCUUAGCCUGCGGGUUGACACUUGGAAUAUUUUUGGGGUAUUUCCUAGACGGCUUAGCCUGCGGAACUGACCCUACAGACCUUCAUAGCCUUCGGGGUUGGUCUGGGCGCCACUUUAGAAAGCUCAAGGGAGCUAGUAGAGGCCAUGAGUUAGGCAUACGUCGAGGUUAGCCAAAGCUUGCAGGUGAGCACCCACUUGGGUUUUGGUUUCCGCGUAGAGGGUCUUAACCAUGGUCAAGGCACACUGGUGCAGUGUGGGUAUGGCAAAUGUGUGGAGUGCAUCCUGUGGGAGGUGUACUAGUGAUUGGGUAUAGAUUGUGAAGUGUUGUGUGGUUACGAAUGAUUGUUUGUAGUGAUUGAGAUAUAAUGUGGAGACUUGAGAUGCCAUGAAUUAUAUAUUAUUGUACUAACACAGUUUUGCAGGAGGAUAGGUCAAUUAACAUUUCUUGCAGGGCUCGACCUAUCCUAAUAGGAGGUGCAGCUCAGGUAAGGUAUUAAUAUAAUAUAUAGUAUUUACUUAGUAAACGAGAUAAAUGUAUAAAGACCGCGGAGUCUGUUAUUUUUUAUUGUUUUUGGGAAUGGAGUUCCCUACCCUUGUCUACUCAUACCAGCAUAAUUUGCUGACCCAUGUUGCUUGUUUUGCACGUGGGUACGUAUCCUUAUGGAGCGUAGGCGGAGGAGAGGAGCCAGUUGAGUACGCUCAGGAGCAACACCCGGAAGCUCGUGUAGAUCCAGUUGUUCGAGAGGGAGUUUGAGAUUUUGCAGGAGUUACCAUUUCAGAGUAGGUUUAGUCCUUUGAUUUGUCGUUAGCUGAUUACUCAAGUUCAUUAUUUCAUUUAUUGGAUUAUUAUUGAUGGGGAAGACAAUACCUCAGUAGAAGCUGUUGAAUUUUAUUAUUGGAGUUGUGUAAUUCAAUAUUUGGAGUUUUUUGGAUUUUAUAUGGAAUUUAUUGGGAGUUCAAAUUAUGUGUGUUGAAGUAUUUGUGUUUAAUGGUUAUGGAUUUUACCUUGUGCAAAAUGUUUAUUUAGAUUACUGUCCCGAUCCUUUGUCCUUUAAUUGGCUUAUUGAGGGUAAUUUUGUAAAUUCUCUCUUUUUGCCAAUUUUUGGAUAUUAAGGUCGUGACAGAGCUGAAGACGUUGUUAAGCAAGGAAUUCGACAUGAAGGAUUUUGGUUCUGCACAGAAGAUCCUAGGUAUGGAGAUAAGGAGAGACAAGAAAGCUGGAAAAAUAUGGCUGUCACAAGUCAAGUACAUUCAAAAGGUACUUGAGCGCUUCAAUAUGAUUGAUGCAGAUCCUGUGUCAACUCCUUUGAACAACAGUUUUGUUUUAAAAAAAAGUCAAUGUCCUUCCACAGAUGCUGAGGUGGAAGAGAUGAAGAAGAAGCCGUAUGCAAGCGCAGUAGGGUGUCUCAUGUACGCAAUGGUAUGCACAAGACCUGAUUUAGCUCAAGCACUAAGUGUAGUAUCGAGAUACAUGGCGAAUCCAGGAAAGCCACACUGGAAAGCUGUGACAUGGAUUCUCAAGUAUCUGAAGGGCACCAAGACGUUGGGUAUCUUGUUUGAAAGACAACAAGGGAAAGCAUGUGUUUCGGGUUAUGUGGAUGCUGAUUAUGCAGGAGAUUUAGAUAAGCGAAGAUCCACCACAGGGUACGUCUUCACUUAUGGUGGAGGAACGGUUAGUUGGAGAUCAAUGCUCCAAACGGUUACUGCUUUAUCCACUACUGAGGCGGAGUAUAUGACAGUAACAGAAGCUUGCAAGGAAGCUAUUUGGCUGAAGGGAUUAGUAAGCACAUUCGGGUUAGAUCAAAAUUCUAUGAUGAUAAGAUGUGACAGUCAGAGUGCUAUUUGCCUUGCAAAGAAUCAAAUGUUUCAUGCAAGAACGAAACAUAUUGAUAUUUGCUAUCAUCGGAUUCGGGAUUGGUUGGACUCAGGUGAAAUUUCAGUUGAGAAGUUCAAACAUUGUUUGAACUUCCUCAAUCUUUCUACAUGUUAAAGAUUGGGUGGAGCACCUUCUCACUUGAGGUGCGUUGAGGCAAGAGGAUUCUUGCCAAUGUGACGGUGCUUGAAGAAAUUCAAGCUGCAAUGAUCUUGUUUUUUGGUCGAUGGCUCGCCAAGGUGGAGAUUGUUGUAUAUUGGCUCGCCAUAGUUGGGUGCACAGGAUCAUACCUUAUAAGAGGUGUGAUCCAUAGGAUCAGUUUCCUAUAUUGGUUAAGAAAACCAUAUAUGUGCAGGAGUUCUAUUUGGACUCGGUUUCCUAUUUAUCUCUAGUUUGAAUUAGUAAUUCUAUAUGAAUUUGAUUUCUAUCCAUGGGCUAUAAAUACCCAAGUAACUUGGUAUUUGUAAGACAAGAAAACAAGAGAAGACAAGAGAGUAGAAAACAAUAGAAACAUAGAGAUAGAUAGAGUAAGUGAGAGAGAACUUUGGGAGCUAAGGGUGUAUUGGGUUUAAGGUGAGAGAUUAAGAUCUUGAGAAAGAUACUAGGGAGAUUAUUGUAAUCGGUGUUUCUUUUCUUAUAGUGAAAUCUUCUCAUUGUUCCCCGUGGAGGUAGGCAUUGCCGAACCACGUAUAUCUUGGUAUUAUUGUUCUUUAUUAUUUUGUUCUUCUUAUACUAUUGUUUAUUGUUUGGUAAUCUUUGACCUCAUUGACAAAACGGAUCCUGUAUUGCAAAGAAGGUGUUCUCACGAAUAUCUAGGUUGCGGGUUGUUGGCGUUGUUAGGAUUUAGUUAAUCACUGCAUAUAGUUCAACACUCUAUAUAUAUAUAUGAAUUUAUGAAUUGCAUUUGGGUUUACCACUUGGAAAAGGACAUUUCUUGACAGUUUCUAAAUUUAUUUCUUGAUGCUUUUAUUAAAAAUCAUCAACCGAUGGAAUUUUAUGACAGUUUAAGGAAAUAAUAUCAUAGGGUUUCAUUGUAAAAAAACUGAUGUUGUGGGCAUUUUGAAAGCCGUCAUUAUGCUGUAAAAACUUGACGACAGUUUUUGUAAUCACUGUAAAUGGGGUUUCGUUUCGAGAAAAUAAGAUGUCCGGUUAUAUAAAACUGUCAUUUGUGCAAAGUUUUGGAAAAAUAAAAUUUCCAGAACCGUCAACACCAAAACUUAACAUAUUAAUCCCCCUCUCUUAUGUNNNNNNNNNNNNNNNNNNNNNNNNNNNNNNNNNNNNNNNNNNNNNNNNNNNNNNNNNNNNNNNNNNNNNNNNNNNNNNNNNNNNNNNNNNNNNNNNNNNNGUUUCUGUAUGUUUUUUAUUUGCUAUUAUUUUCUACAUCUCUAUGAACUUUGACAUGAUUUAGAUUGACCAAAUAAAUCUCAAAUUUCUACUUAUAAUGUGUAGAAAUUAAAUUCCACCUGAGAAUAUGCAUAGGAUAUGCUGGAAUAGAUUUAAGCACUGAGUUAAUGAGGACUACUCGACCAGAUCGAGAGAUAAAUUUACUAUCCCAUGAGUGGAUUUUUUUUUAUUUUUGAAUUUUAAAAAGUCUUGCUCUACCUUUUUUGAUUCCUCUGCCUCUUAAUAACAUCAUCAUCCACACACAUACUAUAACUAUUUGCCUUUCAAGUGAUGACCAAUCCUACUCAUGCCUUUAUUAUCUUUGUAAGAGAUAUGCAAAACUAACCUAGAUUGAGUAGCUAAAAUUGUUAAUAAUUGCAGUAAUCUAAAAUCUAGGCAUUUUACUGAAGAAAUUUUGCUUGGGAACCUAGCUAUACUAGGCUUGUUCCUACUGUCCUUUUACCUUAUUUUGAUAGGCAACUCUAUACUUUGUUGAAUGCGCCCUCGAAGCCUUGCUUUGAUGUGAGUACUAUGACAAACGUUGAGGCUGUGUGGUGCAGUACGUGGUGCUAUAUAUAGUUUAGCUAACUGUUGUGCAGAAUCUGCGGUAAACUUUGGACCCAUGUAUGGUUCUAAUCCUUUGUGGCAUCCCUUGUACUCAUAAAGAAGGUGAGGAGCUCAAAUAUGCAUCUCAGUUUCAGAAGUUCACAAACAGCAAGCUGAAGUCAGUUACAUGAAACUUUAGACCAGAUACUAUGCUAGGGGAAGGAGGGUUUAGUUGUGUUUUCAAGGGAUGGAUUGAGGAGAAGGGAACGGCUGCACCACUGGGCUUAAAGUUGCAGUAAAAACUCUCAGCCAUGAUGAACUUCAAGGUCACAAGGAGUGGAUGGUAUGAAUUUUGAUUUUCAUUCACUAUUUUUAGAUGCUUUGAUUGAUUAAUAUUUUUCUUUGUAUUUUUGCUCAGAGCACGCACAUUUAGUUGUUAGUACCUUACCGUUAUGGCAAGUUGAAGUAAAAUUUCUUGGUGACCUCCAUUUUAAGUUUGUCGAACUGAUUGGGUAUUGCAUUGAAGGUGCUUAAAGAAUGUUAGUGUAUGAGGUUGUGCCUCGAGGAAUCCUGGAGUAGAACCAUAUUUUCAGGAGUAUGUUAGUUAUUUUAAAUCAUCCAACAGCCUCUUAGAUGCAGUAUGUGACUAGAAAUCGAUAAAAAGUUAAAAUGAAAUAAUUUGAACAAAUUAGACAAUAUUAAUUCUCUUUUGAUAAUCCAUUUUUUCUUUCAGGAAUACAAUGCAAACCUCUCUAACUUCGGACUUGCUAAAAAUGGUCAAAAGGGAGAUACGAGUCAUGUAUCUACCAGAGUUAUGGUUAUGCAGCUGCAGAGUAUGUUAUGACAGGUACAUUGGAAUAAAGAAUUUGUAAACUUCGUAUGUAUGAGAUGACUUUCCAUGUCCAAUUUAUGUGAGAGAUCAUCCUUAUAUCUUGCUUACUUUUGGUGGUCCUUGAUAAAAUCCACAUUGUGUAUACGAAUUUAUUGAGGAUUGUACGGAUGUAUCAUGGACAGAAUGAAAUAUAUAAAUAGUUUAGUUCGCCACCAAAAAGAAAAGAAAAAAAGCACAUUUUUUUUACUUGUGUUUUCUUGAUCUCACUUCUUUACUGCAUCAAUGUGUUAUAUUCAAUUGACAGUCUCACCUUUGGUCGAUUUUAAUUGUCCAUUAAACCAUCGAUUUUGUCUAUAUUGCAGGUAAGCUAGGGUCAGGGAGCUUUUUCGAAUGUUGCUUAGGCUAAUGCUCUAAGGCAGUUCACAUCUCAGGUUGAGACAAUGAGUUCUUUUUGGAAUGUCCUUGCAUGUCUGUGAUGGUUCAUAUAAAGUUCCAUAAUUAAAUGACCAUUGCAUAUAUAUAUUUUCUAUUGUCUUUUCUGUUUAAGGACUGUAUUGAAAUCUGAUUUUUGUUUUUUCUCAUAUGAAAGAAAGUUGUAUACUUAGAGCAUCUCUAAUGCGUCUCCCAUAUUUAGCCGACACAUAGGACGAUUUAGCCUCCACGUAGGUGCCACCUACUUUCCCAUCAUUUUUUUUAGCAGGUCUUCUAUACCUAUAUCAGGGAUAACCAUAACGCAAAACCUAUUUUUUUUGCGAAAUUUUAUCUUCCACGCUGGUUGAACCAGCGUGGAAAUAUUUUUCUGUUCCACGCUGGUUCAACCAGCGUGGAAUACUUGGGCUUCGCGUGUCUGGGCUUGGGGCAGUAGGCUGGGCGGCGUGGGCUGGGCUUGGGGCAGUGGGCUGGGAGGGACAGGACUGGACUUGGUCGAUUACCAUUCUUUGAACUAAAAAGCAUUGCAGUAAAAAUCCCACCAACACCAGUUCCUGCCGCGACAUCGAAAUAAUCAGCAAUACAAGCAUCUGGAUUGCCUGAUUUAUUCUUCAAAGCUUGUUCAAGAUAAGCUAAAGCUUUACCCGAAAGAAUUCCUCGCAUUCCACCACCAUCAAUACUUAAAAUACAAACUUUCCCUCUUUGAUUCUUUAUAGCUUGAACACCAUGUUGGGUAUCAUUAAUCAUCAUCGUUUGUGCUAAUGCCCCAGUUUCAGUUUUUGUUUCAAUCUCUGUUGGAAUCCAUAGCUUUCUAUCAUCAUAACCAAAUAGAAAUUUACUUUCAAGAAUAGAGAAAAUUUCAUAACUUAACUUAUCUGUAUCAAUACUUGGUUCUUGCAUUAUAGUCGGAUAACAAGCCAUUUCCAUUUCACAAACAAAUAUUUCUCCAAAUCCCCUCAAUAAUUUUCAAUUCUUCUUUGUAUAUAAGUUCUCACGCUUUCAUAAUAAUUCAACCAAACAAGUUGUGGUUGAAAUUUGUAAACAAAAUCAAAAUAGAAUCAACACUUUAUACUUGAUAUUGAAGAGAGGGAAAAAGGUUCAGGUGAGAGAAGGCAUGAAUGUCGUCUGGGUUUAUGGAGUAAUAAUAAAAAGGUUCCACGCUGGUUUGACCUGCGUGGAAUAAAAAAAAAAAAAAAAAAGGUUCCACGGCGGUUUGACCAGCUUGGAAUUAAAAAAAUAAUAAAAAAAAAGUUUCACGCUGGUUGAACCAGCGUGGAACAUUUUAUUUUCCACAUUCCUACAAUCCUAUCUUUGGUUCGAUUUUGGACGAAGUUUUAGCAGACCGGCCCACCACAUCCUACGUGGAUAGCCGGCUGCUAAAAAUAUAGAAGACGCGUUAGGGUGCUGUUUUUUUCGGAAUUCCUAAAUUAUAGGUUUUAGGAGACCCAUUAGAGAUGCUCUUAUAAGUUCUAUUGUGUGAGUAACAGAUACCCACCUAUACUCUCAUAUCAGAAUUGUUGUAACUAGGGUUGUCCAUUACAUUAGAAUCACUAUUAGAAAAUUGAUCAAUGUUCACACUUUGUGAAACCGGCAUUCGGUUGUUUGACAUUAUUUUGUGACUUGGUGUGUCCGAGGUUAUCUCGCCUUGAUCUCAUUAUUAGGAAUACCUUGAUGUGUGAGCGUCGUCCCAAGUAUUCUUUCUCUCAUCUCAUGACUGUCAGGUUGCUAUUUGGUACAGGACGUACGUACCUAGUUAGGACGUACGUACCUUGAGUUGGACAGAACUCUUGUUAAGGUUUGGACGUACGUACCUAGUUAGGGCGUACGUACGUCGAGUUGGUCAGCAGACUUUUUCGUUCAGGGACGUACGUACCUAGUUAGGACGUACGUACGUCGUCGUAUGGAUUUAUUGUUUUCGGCCCAUAUUUCUUUCCUUCUUAACCCUAGGUUAUAAAUAGGUCGUUGGUGUUAUGUGAAAUGUAAGAGUUCCAACCUAGCCUCCAUAGAACCCUAGUUUGUUUGUUGGCUCUUCCACAAAGAUCAUCUUCUUCCUCAAUUGAUCUUUGUGUACUUCUAUCUUCUAUCCUUCCCCAAUUCAUCUUCCUAUUAUUGUUUAUAUUGAUUUAGCUUUGAGUCUUCUUGUGUGUUCAUCAAGAAGUCGAGUAUCCUUGUGUGUUCAUCAAGGAACUCUGGUGUAAGCUUGUUUCUUAGUUCGGCUUCGAGUCUUCUUGUGUGUUCAUCAAGAAGUCGAGUGUCUUGUGCGUACAUCAACGUACUCUGGUGAAGUCAAGGUGUUAGAGAUAACCAGGAGUGUUAACUCGCAGUGAUUGCAGGUAGUUGAUAGGUUUGUAAAUCUCUUUUCAUCUAGUGGAUUUAUUUGUUGUCGCGAGGACAACCGUGGACGUUUCCCAUAUUGGGUUUUACCACGUUAAAAAUAUCGUGUGUUCUUUAUUUGUUUGUCGUUUCAUUAUUUGCCUUAUUAUUGUUAUAUUGCACAUAUAUUGGGUUCUCAAUUGGUAUCAGUCGCAGGGCGCUUGUUAUAGAGCGUAAUGGCUCAAGCGUAGAUCCUUUUGGUGCAAUUAUGAUGAAUAAAGUUAAUUCUUUUGUGUUUGCCGAUCAAUUAUUUCAUAUUUUUGAUAAUUUUUUUUGGAGAUAAUCGACAUUUGCAGGUUUGGGAUGAUUGAUUUUGUUUUCGUAGCCUUAUGGUAUGAUUAAUUGCAUUAUUUUUUUUACAUAUGGCUAUUUGUUAGGGUUUUGGUAUUUAAUCAUGUUGAUUGCAUUUUAGUGGUUUCUGGUGUUUGUAGUUUAUUUGUUUAAGGUUGCAUAUCAUGUUGAAUGUUGGGAUGUAUUUAUUUUAUUUUUUUAAAAAAAAACAGGAGAAAAGUUAUUAAAAAAAAAAUAAAAAUAAAAAUUUGUGGUUUACUUUGUUAUGGGUGUUUGGGAUACACAUACUUUGUAUAUGUGGUUAGAUUGGUCUAUUGCUUUCAAUCAUACUUGUAUGCUUAGUGCUCAUGAAUAUAUCUAUUUUAUUACACUUAGCAUACGCUUGUGCUUUCAUGUUUAGAUUUUAGACCAACGUUUAUCUAGUUGUGUCUCAUGCAUAUAUCCUUGCUUGAUUACACUAUGCACAGCUAGGUGGCACUUUGAGAGUUUGUUUGCAUAUCUUUUUCCAUCCUUUGAACAUGAUGAACUUCUGGGAUAAUCAUUAGUUGGAAAUAUACGUAUGCAUGCCUUCUUAUGUUAUCUUGAUUAUUAGUAUGAAGGCGGUGUGGUAGUGGUCAACAAUUCACAAAAUCCCCAGCCUUUUGAUCUUCUUGAGAAAAAAAUCAUUUGGUAUACAUACCCGUUGGGGCCGUGAGGGUCAUGCAAUGACGGAUGCACUCAAGAGAUGUUAGUUCUUGUGUUGCACGUUACCAUGAUGUUGCACUACUUUAAGUUUAUUCUUAAAGGGGAAGUAAUUUGAAAAGAUGUAGGUUACACCCUACCACAUGUUGCAAAAGAUGAAGGUAAAAAUCCCUUUCACGUGUUAAAUUAUCCACAAUAAAAAAAAAAAAAAAAAGGUUAUAAGUGCAUUUCCCCGUGUUUGUUUAGGUGUUUGUGAAGUGAAAUCCUUCUGAUGGUGAAUACUAGUUGUUUUGAGUGUUCUUAUGGUUUGUGAGUGAGGUGUGAAAAUGAUUCUCUUUGUGUUUUCUUUAGCUUUAAUUCCCACACACCAGGGAUGUUUGUAUGAUGCAUUUCUAGUAGAUGUUUGGUUUCUUAUCUUAAUUUUUGAUUGGUGCGUACUUUGUUUAAUGAAACCAAGUUUAUUCAUCUUUACUAAGUAUUUUGUUUUAAUUGAGCUUGCAUAUACUCUCUUCUACCCUUGUAUGCAUGGUUCUUUGUGUGUUUCAAAUAUCCUUAUGUGGUUUGUUUGUUCUAGGUGCAUCUUUCUCAUAUGCAUUGCAUUUCGGUGGAGUUUUCGUUUAGGGGGAGAAUUCUUUGUAUUGACAUCGUGUUAACAAGUGUUUAUUUUAUGGCUUCCAUUGCAUAUCCUUUUUGUUGUUGUUAACAUGAUUGUUCUCUUUCUCUUCUUCUUCUCUUAUUUGUUAUGGUUUCGGUUUUUUGUUUUCUCUUUCCUUUGUCACCUUACUUCAUUUGUGACAAAAAAUGAGAGAUUUAUGACUCUAAUACUAACACUUUUCUCUUCCUUUGUUAGUGUAUUUUUGGGUCAUGUUUCAGGUAUGCUACACGUAUGGGGGAGUGAACGUGUUGAUGAUUAGAGGUUGUACAGUUCUGGGGGAGCUUGAGUAUUAAACUUUGGAGUUCAUGAGUAUGGGGGAGUAGUUCCUAAAAGCUUCCGUUGAUUCUCUGAUUGGUUCAGAAUUUUUCUUGCUUCCGUUUUGUCUCUGAUGAUCAAAUCUUCUUGCUCGAGCUGAAUAUCAAGUGAUGGUGACUUGGUACGUAUCGAGUGUGAGUGUUCUUGUAGGUAUGUAUUAUAAAUGCCGUUGGUUUGGGUUUGUAAGCACGUAUUAUAAGUGUUUCUAGAGUCAUAGGUUUUUGUCACAAAAUAAAUGUCAAAGGGGGAGAUUGAAACCGGCAUUCGGUUGUUUGACAUUAUUUUGUGACUUGGUGUGUCCGAGGUUAUCUCGCCUUGAUCUCAUUAUUAGGAAUACCUUGAUGUGUGAGCGUCGUCCCGAGUAUCCCUUCUCUCAUCAUGACUGUCAGGUUGUUGUUUGGUACAGGACGUACGUACCUAGUUAGGACGUACGUACCUUGAGUUGGACGGAACUCUUUUUAAGGUUUGGACGUACGUACCUAGUUAGGGCGUACGUAUGUCGAGUUAGUCAGCAGACUUUUUCGUUCAAGGACGUACGUACGUCGUCGUAUGGAUUUCUUGUUUUCGGCCCAUAUUUCUUUCCUUCUUAACCCUAGGUUAUAAAUAGGUCGUUGGUGUUAUGUGAAAGGUAAGAGUUCCAACCUAGCCUCCAUAGAACCCUAGUUUGUUUGUUGGCUCUUCCACAAAGAUAAUCUUCUUCCUCAAUUGAUCUUUGUGUACUUCUAUCUUCUAUCCUUCCCCAAUUCAUCUUCCUAUUAUUGUUUAUAUUGAUUUAGCUUCGAGUCUUCUUGUGUGUUCAUCAAGAAGUCGAGUAUCCUUGUGUGUUCAUCAAGGAACUCUGGUGUAAACUUGUUUCAUAGUUCGGCUUCGAGUCUUCUUGUGUGUUCAUCAAGAAGUCGAGUGUCUUGUGCGUACAUCAAGGUACUCUGGUGAAGUCAAGGUGUUAGACAUAACCAGGAGUGUCAACUCGCAGUGAUUGCAGGUAGUUGAUAGGUUUGUACAUCUCUUUUCAUCUAGUGGAUUUAUUUGUUGUCGCGAGGACAACCGUGGACGUUUCCCAUAUUGGGUUUUACCACGUUAAAAAUAUCGUGUGUUCUUUAUUUGUUUAUUGCUUUAUUGUUUGCUUUACUAUUGUUAUAUUGCACAUAUUUUGGGUUUCAUGGUAUUGCACUUCUUGAGUUUUUGUUUGUCAAAAAGAUGUAGGCUACACCCUACCCUCGUGUAUUUGAAAAGAUGGAGCCAAAAAUCCCUCCCACGCGGGAAUGACAUUAGAGUGAUGUAGACUAAACUCCACCACAUGCGGCAAAAUAAAAAUCCAAGCUCAUGUUCAUUGUUUUUAUGUAAGACAUACAUAGUUUAUAUUCCUUUGCCUUUUGGAUGUCUUGGUUUUCAUUUGAAAGAUCAUAUUUAUAUUCGUGUGUCUUCUACUCAUAACGUUUGUUUCAAAGGAGUUGAAGUUUGUUUCUUCUAUGCUCACUUACUAAUUGUAUGUCUCUUGUUGAUGGUUUUAUAUUCUAGGUCUUCAAAGGGUGUGUUCUAGUGGUGAACUUUCUCUCUCUUUAUGCAUUGCAUAGCAUCUACACACCGAGGUUUAGUUUAUGAUGCACUUCAAUUCUCUUAUUUGUUCAAUCUUUUGUUUAUCCCCAUAUAUUGCCUCUUAUUUUUGUACGGAUUGGGAUUGGCUACUGUUUUGGGAAUUUCGUGAUGCAUUCCUCUUCAGUUUUAUGGAACAUAUGUUCUUUUCUCUUUAUCUUAUUAUUAAGGUUUUUCUCUUGGUGAUUCAUGGUUAUAUAUUUUUGUUUGCUCUUGGUUGGAAGGUUGGUUAUCAUUUUUUUUUGUCUAGCUUACAUCAUUGAAUAUAUACUUGGUGUCUUGACAAGUUUGGGUGCUCGUGUGAUUCUUAAUGGUUAUGUAACCCUUGGACAUGUUUAAUAUUAUUAUCGACUGCGCAAUAUAGUGUUUUUGACUAUUUGUACUGUCUUGCACACCAAGUGUUUGCUCAAAUGCCUAAAUGAAAAUUCUCACCUGUUUUGGUUGUUACUUAGAGUGUUUUCUAACAUUCUUCGAUUGGUUCCUGUUCUGGGUAUGCAGGACAUGCCUCCUAAGCGAGCUCGGACUACUCCCACCAAAGAAACACCCAGUUCCAAGGGUGCUUUGUCAUCGGGCACACGUCCUCCUCGUGCUCAAAGGAGUAGAGGCGCCAUUCCUUCGGAUUCUUGUAGAUGUUCUUGCUGAAAGUGUUUAUGGCUUACUCUAUUUUGGUUCCAUUCCUUGGUAAUUCUUUUCAGUCGGUGUUUCAUUGACAUACUAAGGUCAGAUUGUUAGUAUUAUUUGGUUUUAAACUUCAUGCUUUCUAUUUUUGUCAUUGGAUCACAUGUGUUUGAUGUGAUUUCUUAAGGUAAUAGUUCUCAACUUGUUUUAAGAAGGCUACAAGGUAUGCAUAAGCAUAUUUUGGUGAUGAAAUCAUGUUAUUGGUGUAUUCGGUUGUCAUGAUUUAUAUUGAUUCAUGUUUUCUCAUAGGUUCUCAUCAUACUUUUCUAUGUUGGGAUAAUAUUCUUGAAUUACCUUGUUGGCUAGCUGGUGUUUGAUUGAAUGCUUAUGAGACUUGCCUAUCCUCUUAUUGUUGCUUCUUGUGCCUGGUUGAUCCUAUUUUUUCCUACAAUAGGUUUGAUUAGAUGUGUUCUUGGUAGUCUUCUGCAAUAAUCCUCAUGCAAUGGUUUUGGGCUUCCACUGUUCUAUCUUGGGAUGCAUAUGCUCAGUUUGGUCAUCUAUUGUUAGCAAUUCUCUUCUAUUGACUCUCUAAUCUUUCUGACAAUGUAUGGCAUGUCAUCGGAGUCUUAGUGUUCUGGCAGGAAAUUUGCUCUGAAGUUGGAUUGUUGUUUUGUGACUUGGUGACAUCGAUAAUCCUUGCUCAUUCUUCAGUUAAAGCAUUUUUUUUUAUGAGCUUGAUGAUUGCUUAUCUUGUUUGGCAUAUGUUGAACUAAUUUUUGGGUUUCACAUGGGGUGGGCUUACGAGUUUAUUCUUUUUAUGUCUCUGUUCCAUUGUGUUUGGGAUAAUAUUUCCUUCUCUUUGUUUAUGAGAUUCUCUAAUUUUUUUUGUGGUUGGAUGAGUUGUUUCAGGAACAUGUACAGAUUGGAUUUCCCCAUGGAUUCUCAAUGGAUUUUCUUAUACUUUACAUAUCUCUUCCUGCAUAUACUCAUAUUCCUGUAGUUUUGUCAUGGGAUAUUGUUGGAUGUGUCUAGUAUGCAUGGUUUCCCUAUUCUCUUUCAUAUCUCCUACUAACUAUUGUUUAUCUCUUCUUCUUUCUCUUUUCGCAUAUUCUUUUCUUGCACAUUUCUCACAGGUUUGACUAUUUGGUUCUUGGUCAUGAUUGUACGUUGCUGAUUUCAUCGGGUAUGGUAUUUCUUCCUUUUUGUUUGUUUGCUCUUUUUCUCUAGAUAUCUUCCUACUAUGAAGUCGUUUCUCUGGAGUCUAUCUCAGGUGGUUAUGGUCGGUUGAUUAAAGUGAUAUUCUAGUGAAUCAUUUGUUCCGAUUGAUGGUGUCCUGACUCUUUCUUCUAUGUAUAGGAUUCUCUUGGUUUCUAUCAGGGAUUCAUGUUAUGUUUUCUUUUCUUCCCUCUGUUACCUAUAUAAGUUUUCAAUGUCUUUUCACUAUCUCCUUCUUAUCUCGUUUUGGUUCUUAUCUAAUCUCCCUUCUUGUGUCUGUGUUGGUACUCUUUCUUCUUCAUUUAUAUGCCUAGAUCUCUCUCAUGUCUUUUAGUUUUGUGUGUCAUGGAUUCUAGAUCUAUGGUAUGGUUUUCUCUUUCCUCUCUUCUUCUAUUCCUUGGUUCAUUUUGCUUUAUUCUCGUGUUGAUUUAUGUCACCCCUUUGCAUCAUUUGUGACAAAAAGGGGGAGAUUUAUGACUCUAAUACUAACACCUUCUUCUUCCUUGUUAGUGUAUUUUUGGGUCAUGUUUCAGGUAUGCUACACGUAUGGGGGAGUGAACGUGUUGAUGAUUAGAGGUUGUACAGUUCUGGGGGAGCUCGAGUAUUAAACUUUGGAGUUCAUGAGUAUGGGGGAGUAGUUCCUAAAAGCUUCCGUUGAUUCUCUGAUUGGUUCAGAAUUUUUCUUGCUUCCAUUUUGUCUCUGAUGAUCAAACCUUCUUGCUCGAGCUGAAUAUCAAGUGAUGGUGACUUGGUACGUAUCGAGUGUGAGUGUUCUUGUAGGCAUGUAUUAUAAAUGCUGUUGGUUUGGGUUUGUAAGCACGUAUUAUAAGUGCUUCUAGAGUCAUAGGUUUUUGUCACAAAAUAAAUUUCAAAGGGGGAGAUUGAAACCGGCAUUCGGUUGUUUGACAUUAUUUUGUGACUUGGUGUGUCCGAGGUUAUCUCGCCUUGAUCUCAUUAUUAGGAAUACCUUGAUGUGUGAGCGUCGUCCCAAGUAUUCUUUCUCUCAUCUCAUGACUGUCAGGUUGUUAUUUGGUACAGGACGUACGUACCUAGUUAGGACGUACGUACCUUGAGUUGGACAGAACUCUUGUUAAGGUUUGGACGUACGUACCUAGUUAGGGCGUACGUACGUCGAGUUGGUCAGCAGACUUUUUCGUUCAGGGACGUACGUACCUAGUUAGGACGUACGUACGUCGUCGUAUGGAUUUCUUGUUUUCGGCCCAUAUUUCUCUCCUUCUUAACCCUAGGUUAUAAAUAGGUCGUUGGUGUUAUGUGAAAUGUAAGAGUUCCAACCUAGCCUCCAUAGAACCCUAGUUUGUUUGUUGGCUCUUCAACAAAGAUCAUCUUCUUCCUCAAUUGAUCUUUGUGUACUUCUAUCUUCUAUCCUUCCUCAAUUCAUCUUCCUAUUAUUGUUUAUAUUGAUUUAGCUUCGAGUCUUCUUGUGUGUUCAUCAAGUAGUCGAGUAUCCUUGUGUGUUCAUCAAGGAACUCUGGUGUAAGCUUGUUUCUUAGUUCGGCUUCGAGUCUUCUUGUGUGUUCAUCAAGAAGUCGAGUGUCUUGUGCGUACAUCAAGGUACUCUGGUGAAGUCAAGGUGUUAGAGAUAACCAGGAGUGUCAACUCGCAGUGAUUGCAGGUAGUUGAUAGGUUUGUAAAUCUCUUUUCAUCUAGUGGAUUUAUUUGUUGUCGCGAGGACAACCGUGGACGUUUCCCAUAUUGGGUUUUACCACGUUAAAAAUAUCGUGUGUUCUUUAUUUGUUUGUCGUUUCAUUAUUUGCCUUAUUAUUGUUAUAUUGCACAUAGAUUGGGUUUUCACUUUGUACACUUGACGUACUCUUACACUUGAUUUUGUUGAAUUUAAUUUCAGGGCCAUCAAAUUUAUCAGGAGAUUUGGAAAUGUGGCGGAUCUGCUUCCAUUCCUUUUUCGCAGUGAUCUUAAUAGUGAAUCUGGUUAGUAGGAAAACCCUCACUUUGGGUGUUAUCAGAAGAAAGGUUGCUGUGCUAAAUUCCAUAGAACAUUGUGCUUAAAUGCCAGAAUAAUUGUGGUUCAGCUAAUAAUGAUACUGAAAAUAUGAUGAGUUUAAGCUUGUCGAAUUCACGUGGGUUUUCCCUAUUAACAUGUCACCAUAACAAUUGUGUUUGGGUAAGAAAACGCAUAGUAUUUAGAAAAAUAAUUCAAACAGCUAUAUUUUAAACUGAGCUUUCAAAUUCAGGUUUCACAUGACUUGGGACCCAACAAUUGGUCAGCAACUGGUUGUCUUGCAAUUAUUCGACACCUUUUUGUUGGCCUUGCACUUGGUUGCAAGCUUCAUUUUAUUUUUGGUCGAAUUAUUUCUCCCCGUUUUGGACAAGUGAUGUGAGCCUCAAGGAACUAGAGAAGAAUUGUUACAGUGUAGCCAAUGAACCUUUUUCUUGGCCUUGCACUUGGGGUUUAAUACCAUAUACUUGGCUCAGUUGGCUGUAUUGGUUGCAAGCUUCAUUUUAUUCUUGAUCGAGUUAUUUCUCCCCGUUGUGGACAAGUGAUGUGAUUAAACGCCAAAAUAACUGUGGUAUAGCUAAUAAUGUAAUUCGGAAAAAUAUCAUCAAACCAGCAAUAAUGUUUUCCAAAAGUCGAUCUUCAUCACAUGCAGUACUAUAUAUCAAAUUUAUGUGGUCCAUAUCCUAUUGAUAAUGCACAUGUCGAGAAAUUUUCAGGAAAUAAUGUAGAUCAAUUGGUGGUUGUAAUUUAAUGUCACAUUGUGUCGCAUUGAAGGAUAUCGAUCGCAUCGAAGAACCACUAUGCCUAGUUGAGAAAUUUCCAGGGAAAAACACAACGUACACUAUGUCUUCAUCACAAUACUGUCAAAUUUAUGUGGUCCUAUUAAUAAUUAACAUGUCCAUAUCCCUUAUAUUUGAAACUUUGGAUAAGAAAAUGCGAUAGUCGAUAAAUUUUCAGGAACGAACACCACACAUUGAAAGAUUACAUUUUCAAUAACGGUCUCGUAGACCGAUGUGUGUCGGCAGUGAAGAACCACUGUGGGGUAGUUCAGAAAUUUCUAAGAAAGAACACCACUUUUACAUUGAACUUAACUAUAUAUGUACAUAGCUAGAACUUUAAACUGAGCUUUCAAAAUUAUUAGACCUUCACAUGAUAUGUCUGGGGACCCAACCAAGUCUUCAAGGGAUCAGCAAACCUGUGGUGGACAGAACUUCUUUCAUAAGAUUUUAUAUAUGUGCUUGUUGAGCAAGAGCAUCUAAAGCUUUCCAUCUUUAAAAGUUUGGCAAAAACUUCAUUCUAUACAAACUCAAUAGAUUACUGAAAAAUGGCGGAAGCAUUUGUUUUAUCUGCUGCUUCGGCAAUUGUUGCAUCUGUUGUAGAAAGCCUUGGUAAGUUGGUCAUUGAUCAGACCAUUGACUUUGGCAUUUCUUUCAGAAAGGUGCAUGAGCAAUUUAAGAGUUUGAAAGAUGAACUCGAAAGCAUCCAAGGGUUCUUACAAACUGCAGACUCAAAUCACAAUCAAGAUCCAGGUAUCCGCAUUUGGGUGAGUGAUGUUAGAGAAAUUGCUUAUGAUGUAGAUGAUGUCAUUGACGCCUUUCUUCGCAAAGUUCCAUACAAGGAAGAUGGGGAAAGCUCCUUCAUGCGAUAUGCUCACAAGCCCAAAAAGAUUUUGAAUUCUUACAAAAUAGGGAAGGAGAUGGAGACAAUCUUUUCAAAGCUCAAGGACAUAUCGAAAAGGCAAAAAAGAUAUGCUGGUAUCACAAUCCAACAAACAAUGCCUUCCACUUCUUCAAAUACAAAGAACAUGUUGCUGAGACGAGUAUACUCUCACACCAAGGAUGACGCUACUGUUGGCUUGGAGGAUCAUACAAAAACUUUGGUGUCUGAGUUGCUGAAAGAGGAGGAUCGACUUUGUGUAGUCUCUAUUUAUGGAAUGGGUGGUUUAGGAAAAACUACCCUUGCGAAAGAAGUUUACAAUCAUCGCAAUAUCAAAGCUCAUUUUGAUUGCUAUGCUUGGACAUCAAUAUCUCAACAAAUGAGCACCAGAGAGGUUUUAAAAGAGAUCAUAAGGGAAGUUAACACUCAAGCCAGCACAGACAUUUGGGAUAUGAAUGAAGUUGAAUUGGUUCGGAAUCUCUUUCGAUUCUUGGGCGGAAAGCGGUAUUUAGUAGUUCUUGAUGAUAUCUGGAACACCACAGACUGGGAUAUUUUAAAACCAGCCUUUCCGAAUAGCAGAGGAAGCAAGGUCAUGCUCAGCACCCGCAAUGAAGAAAUUGCUAUCCAUGCCGAUCCAAUGAGUUUCCGCCUUAAACCACGAUUUUUGACAGAUGAUGAAGGUUGGGAAUUGCUUUGUCGCAAAGCAUUAAUUCCUUUAUCAAGUGGUGAUCUUGAAGAAUGUGGAAGAAGGAUGGUGAGAAAGUGUGGUGGUCUUCCUCUCGCAAUAAUCGUUCUUGGAGGGAUAUUACAAUCGAAGAGAUCAUUGGGAGAAUGGGAAAACGUCUCUAAAAAGAUUGGAAUAAGUGGCCAUGAAAGUAGAGUUCUUUCCAUUCUUUCUUUGAGCUAUGAAGAAUUGCCUUAUCACUUGAAACCUUUGUUUUUAUAUUUGGGGCUUUUCCCAGAAGACUCCAAUAUUCGAGUGACGAAUUUGGUACGUAUGUGGAUGGCUGAAAGGUUGAUAACAGAGCAAGAAGGAGAAACGAUAGAAGAAUUGGGAAGACAAUGCUUGGAUGAAUUAAUUCACAGAUGCAUGGUUCAAAUUGGUGAGAAACGCUUGGGAGAAGAAAGAGCUAAAACAUGUCGGCUUCAUGAUAAGAUGCGAGACCUUUGCAUUGAAAUCGGAAAGAAGGAAAAUUUCUUUAAGGUGAUGAGUCAUCAAAAUAACGACCCUUCUUCUUCUUCUUCUUCUUCUUCUUCAGUUUUCUUAAAAUUGCGGAGAUGUGCAAUCCAUGUUGAAGAAAGAGGUAAGCAGUACAUUUUCCCAAAACAUCUUACUCCAUGUUUACGUACUGCUAUUUUUAUUCCAAAAGACUUGUUCACUGAAUAUUGUCCAAACAUUGUGUAUAAAGAUUUCAAAUCACUGAAGGUCUUAGAGUUUCAAGGUGUAUUAAAAACUGAAAGAGAGUUUCGUGGCGUAGUAAAGAAGUUGAGUAAUUUGAGAUAUUUAUCUGUAAGAAGACUUGCUUUUGGAAACUUGAUUGGAAAUUUUGUUUGUUUAGAAACCUUAGAUGUUAGAUAUUCUACCAUUGAUGAGAGUAUGUGUAAAGUGAUAUCUAACGUCAUGCCCCAAUUAAGACACUUUUACGGUUUGUUAAUUCAACUAUCAGAAAUAAACAAAAUGAGGAGACUCCAAACUUUAUGUUGUGCACGGGCCGGGCCAUGGAUUACAGAUCUUGUGAAAUUAACAAAUCUCGAGAAAUUGGGUAUAUGGGAAUUAGAUGAGAAAACAAUACGAUUGUUUACAAACGUAAUUGUUGGUGGUGGUGGAUUGGAUAAGCUUCGGUCGUUGUAUCUUCAAACAGAAAUUGAAUUUCCUUCGGAUUUGUUGGAAUAUUUAUCAGAAAAGAUUCAUUUACUGAAAUUGAGAUUGUUUGGUAAGUUUAAAAAUGGGAAACUCCCUUCCUUGUUUCCAUCAAAUCUCAUCAAAUUAGACCUUGGAUUCACUAAUCUUUCUGAAGAUCCGAUGCCGACUCUGGAGAAGCUACAACACUUGUUGUUUCUUUUAUUAUUCGAUUCAUACUUAGGUAAAGAAAUGGUAUGCUCUGCCAUAGGUUUUCCCAAACUUCAGAAUUUAAAAAUCUUGGAUUGUUUACUAAAUGUUUGAUCGAUUGCAAAAAGUUGAAGAUGGUUCCUCAAGGAUUUAAAUUUCUCACUAUGCUCCAAGAGUUGAAGAUCUUUGAAAUGCCAAAAUCAUUUGAACAAAGGGUUAAAGAAGGAGGUGAAGAUUGGCCAACUGUCCAACACAUUCCUUCCAUCAUUUUCACUGGAAGUAAGUUUGCUUCCUUUUAUUUAGUUAUAUGAUUUCUUCCUUAUUCCUCAUUUAUAUAUGAUUAUAUAUGGUUGUAAUCACACAGGAGAAGAAGUUUCUGAAGAAAGUGAGGGAGAAGAAGUUUCUGAAGAAAGUGAGGAAGAAAGAGUACAAAAUUCGCAAACUAUCUGACACAUUCCUGAUUCCUUCAUCAUCAUGGACGAAAGGUAUCAUAUUUGUUUCUAUUUAUUUGUAUGAAUUUUUAAUUUAUUCCAAAAGACAAACUUUUAAUUGCUUUUAUUUAUUUCUGCAGCAACCAUUUAGCCUCGAUCUGCGGUGACAAAACAGGGAUUAGAGGAAUACAACCUCCAUCAAGUAUUUUUUUUCCCAUUAUGUUCUUGUGCAUUGUGGCUUGUAAGACUUUCUUAUUGGAUUGCGCUUGUUUAUCUGCACUAUUGUUACUUCUAUAUUUAUUGCAUGAAUUGGGUGGGUGUGAAUCUUGUAUUGAUAUGACUAAAUUUGUAACUGAUCAAUUUCAUCGUCACUUUGUUAAACAAUCUCCAAUGAUGACUAAAAACUUAUCAACUUCUUUUAUAUGAUUUCUCCCUUCCAAAGUGUGGGACUUUUUGGAAUUCUCAGCUUUAUAAAUUCCUUCCAAGUACUUCGUAUCCAUGAUCCAUCUUAGAUAGAAUUUGCCUAGCGGGUCUUAAUCCAUUAUAUCAUUGAGCAGUAUGUCCAGUUGUGGUGUGAAGCUUCUGUUAGAUAAGCAAGGUAAUCUGCGAUCGUGUUGGUCUCUCGGUCCAUGUUGGGUGUCUGUCCUUUGAAGCUUGCCCCAUAUAUUAAUCACCUCGCCCAGUUAGUAUGUUGUUGCAGUCAGAAGUCAGGACUGCUGUCGUUGUUUGCUAUGUCGAUUACAGAACUGGGCUUACUGUAGUGAUUGUCCAAUGCAAUGGUAAAAAUUCGUACCCGGCCACCAUCCUGUCUUGUAAUUCAACGCAAAUUACAAAAUAUCAUCAAAAUAUCGAAUGUGAAAUAUUUGAUUUGGUCG